UGAAUUCUUAUGUUAUUCCAUUCUUUAUUAUUCUGUUGGAAUAACAUGUCUAUGUGGAUUACCACAUGCAUGGUGAAUGAUCAUUUGUAUUCAUUCCUUAUUAAAUUGUGGAAAUGACGUGUCUAAGUGGAUUACCGCAUGGCGGGCGAAAAUCCAUUUGAAGUAUACUAUAUUCUCUUAUACUCAGUUGGUUAAAGCUUUGACUUCUAUAC
rnacentral:lncRNA from 1 species